GGCACUUAAAGUUCGUGGUACCCUUAAGGAAAAGAAUGCAAUUAUAGAUAAGAAGAUUAAAGAGCAAGAAGAUUUGGCGACGAAAUCGGCGAUGGAGCGCGAUGAGUUGCUCCAUAAGAUCGGUAAUUAUGUUCACGGGAGUGUCCCUGUGGGAGAUGA
rnacentral:ribozyme from 1 species